GAAAUGCGAUAAGUAAUGUGAAUUGCAAAAUUCCGUGAAUCAUCGAAUCUUUGAACGCACAUUGCGCCCUCUGGUAUUCCGGGGGGCAUGCCUGUCCGAGCGUCAUUGCGAACCCCUCAAGCACGGCUUGUGUGAUGGGCCCUCCCGCGUCUUGGUCGUCAAGACGGGCCCGAAAUGCAGUGGCGGCUUCGCGGUUAUCCGAUCAGCCAGAGCGUAUGGGGACUUUCUCUCUGUCACACGCCCGCGGCGCGGACCGACGCCUGUCGACCUUCAUUCAUCGUUUUCUCGGUUGACCUCGGAUCAGGUAGGGAUACCCGCUGAACUUAAGC
rnacentral:misc_RNA from 1 species